CAGUCGCCACGGGAAUACGUAGGGUGCGAGCGUUGAUCGGAACUACUGGGCGUAAAGCGUGCGCAGGCGGUUCGUUAAGACAGAUGUGAAAUCCCCGGGCUUAACCUGGGAACUGCAUUUGUGACUGCAAAGCUAGAGUGCGGCAGAGGGGGAUGGAAUUCCGCGUGUAGCAGAGAAAUGCGUAGAUAUGCGGAGGAACACCGAUGGCGAAGGUAAUCCCCUGGGCCUGCACUGACGCUCAUGCACGAAAGCGUGGGGAGCAAACAGGAUUAGAUACCCCAGUAGUCCCUGUCUCUUAUAC
rnacentral:rRNA from 1 species